CAGCCCCUCGAGUGGUGGGGAUGAUUAUUUGGCCUAAAGCGUCCGUAGCCGGCCGAGUAAGUCCCCCGUUAAAUCCAGCGUCUCAAGCGUUGGACUGCAGGAGAUACUACUUGGCUAGAGAGUGGGAGAGGUCAGCGGUAUUCUGGGGGUAGGGGCGAAAUCCUUUGAUCCCCGGAGGACCACCAGUGGCGAAGGCUGCUGACUAGAACACGUCUGACGGUCAGGGACGAAAGCUGGGGUAGCGAACCGGAUUAGAGACCCGUGUAGUCC
rnacentral:rRNA from 1 species